UACGGGGGGGGGCAAGCGUUGUUCGGAAUUACUGGGCGUAAAGGGCUCGUAGGCGGCCAACUAAGUCAGACGUGAAAUCCCCGGGCUCAACCCGGGAACUGCGUCCGAGACUGAAAGGCUUGAAUCCGGGAGAGGGAUGUGGAAUUCCAGGUGUAGCGGUGAAAUGCGUAGAUAUCUGGAGGAACACCGGUGGCGAAGGCGGCAUCCUGGACCGGUAUUGACGCUGAGGAGCGAAAGCCAGGGGAGCAAAGCGGG
rnacentral:rRNA from 1 species